ACAAAGCCUUGAGCAAAUUGGUAAUAGAGCAGAACGCCUUAGAAUUAAUUCAGAUAUAUAUUUAUAUUUAAGUACUGAUAUUGAGGUGGAAAUCUAGAUUUCUUCUGAUUAGUUUUUCUGCUAGCAUUCUUCUUGCUAUAUUAUUUUCUGUUUUAUACAUGAAUUUUUAUUGAAGUUAUUGUCUGGGUCCUAUUAAGUGAUUAUUUCAUGUAAUAGCCUUAACUUGCGAGAACUGUAUGGUGAAGUCUAGAUACUUGUAUGCUUUUUAUAUCUUAAUUUAGUUUUCAGGACAUAUUGAAGAAAGCUCAGCUUUUUUCCCCUUGUGCUAUGGAUGUUGAUUCAAUACAAACUCUUGAUCCUAUUAACACUUGGUUAGAGCAAAAGGUUAAGUUGAAUGAUGCUGAGCACAAGUUAAAAGAUCAAGGACGUCAACUAAAGGUUCAACAGAAAAGAAUUGGUUCUACUAAAAAGACAAUUCA